AUUGAACGCUGGCGGCAUGCUUUACACAUGCAAGUCGAACGGUAACAGGCCUUCGGGUGCUGACGAGUGGCGCACGGGUGAGUAAUGCAUCGGAACGUACCCAGAGGUGGGGGAUAACGCAGCGAAAGCUGUGCUAAUACCGCAUGUGAUCUGAGGAUGAAAGCGGGGGACCGAGCAGCAAUGUUUGGCCUCGCGCCUUUGGAGCGGCCGAUGUCGGAUUAGCUAGUUGGUGGGGUAAAGGCCUACCAAGGCGACGAUCCGUAGCUGGUCUGAGAGGACGACCAGCCACACUGGGACUGAGACACGGCCCAGACUCCUACGGGAGGCAGCAGUGGGGAAUUUUGGACAAUGGGCGCAAGCCUGAUCCAGCAAUGCCGCGUGCGGGAAAAAGGCCUUCGGGUUGUAAACCGCUUUUGGCAGGAACGAAACGGUGUCCGCUAAUACCGGGCGCUAAUGACGGUACCUGCAGAAUAAGCACCGGCUAACUACGUG
rnacentral:rRNA from 1 species